ACAAGAUAACCCAUUUUAGAAUGAUGGAUACACUACUUUGACCAUCAAAGCAAUGCAUUACAUUGUAAUAUUUUUGUGUUUUCCUUAUUUCAUAGUUCAUAUAACUUCCAAAGAUUUGAACAGGAGCUGUCCUCCGCUAGUACAAAACGAAAGAUGUGAAUUUGAACAAAAGUUUGAUACUUGUCAAACAAAUACUGACUGUAAAUAUGGAAAAAUAUGUUGUCCUCGCAAAUGUGGAUUAAGAUGCAUAAAA